rnacentral:rRNA from 1 species
UACGUAUGGUGCAAGCGUUAUCCGGAUUUACUGGGUGUAAAGGGAGCGUAGACGGAUAGGCAAGUCUGGAGUGAAAGCCCGGGGCUCAACCCCGGGACUGCUUUGGAAACUGUUUAUCUAGAGUGCUGGAGAGGCAAGUGGAAUUCCUAGUGUAGCGGUGAAAUGCGUAGAUAUUAGGAGGAACACCAGUGGCGAAGGCGGCUUGCUGGACAGUAACUGACGUUGAGGCUCGAAAGCGUGGGGAGCAAACAGG